rnacentral:ncRNA from 1 species
GAUCCUCAUAGAUCCUUUAGACACACAGGCUUGGUCCCAGCCUUGAAAUCAAUUUUUACUUGACUUACACAUGCAAGUCUCCGCACACCCGUGAGAACGCCCUUCCCCCCACUUUGGGCCAAGGAGCUGAUAUCAGGCACUUAAACGCCCAAGACAUCUAGUCAUGCCACACCCACAAGGGUCUCCAGCAGUGAUCAACAUUAAAAAUAAACGUCAGUUUGAUUUAGCCAAUGAAAAUAGAGCCGGCCAAUCUGGUGCCAGCCGCCGCGGUCACACCACGUGGCUCAAAUUGAUUUUACCCGGCGUAAAGCGUGAUUAAAGAGAACAACUUAUUAGGGCUAAACUUAAACUAAGCCGUAGCACGCUUGUUUUUAAGAAAAUCAUACCUUAAAAUACCCCAACACACCAACUUGAACUCACGAUAACUAGGACACAAACUGGGAUUAGAUACCCCACUAUGCCUAGUCGUAAACCCUAACUUACACCUCCAUCGCCUGGGAACUACGAGCAAAGCUUAAAACCCAAAGGACUUGACGGUGCCCCACAUCCAGCUAGAGGAGCCUGUCCUACAACCGAUACCCCCCGUUCAACCUCACCACUUUUAGUUUAUCAGCCUGUAUACUUCCGUCGCCAGCUUACCGCGUGAGCGAAACAAGUAAGCUUAAUGUUUAUUCAUCAGAACGUCAGGUCAAAGUGCAGCAAAUAAAGUGGGAAGAGAUGGGCUACACUUUCUACCCUAGAAGACACGAAAGACAAUAUGAAGCACAGUCAGAAGGCGGAUUUAGUAGUAAGAGGAAGCAGAAUAUUCCUCUUAAUCCAGCACUGGGGCGUGUACACACCGCCCGUCACCCUCUUCAACACAACAUUUUAGUAUUUAACAACUUACACCGCAAAGAAGAGGUAAGUCGUAACAUGGUAAGUAUACCGGAAGGUGUGCUUGGAAAC